GACGAACGCUGGCGGCGUGCUUAACACAUGCAAGUCGAACGGAAAGGCCCUGCUUUUGUGGGGUGCUCGAGGGGCGAACGGGUGAGUAACACGUGAGUAACCUGCCCUUGACUUGGGGAUAACUUCAGGAAACUGGGGCUAAUACCGGAUAGGAGCUCCUGCUGCAUGGUGGGGGUUGGAAAGUUUCGGCGGUUGGGGAUGGACUCGCGGCUUAUCAGCUUGUUGGUGGGGUAGUGGCUUACCAAGGCUUUGACGGGUAGCCGGCCUGAGGGGGUGACCGGCCACAUUGGGACUGAGAUACGGCCCAGACUCCUACGGGAGGCAGCAGUGGGGAAUAUUGCACAAUGGGCGGAAGCCUGAUGCAGCAACGCCGCGUGCGGGAUGACGGCCUUCGGGUUGUAAACCGCUUUCGCCUGUGACGAAGCGUGAGUGACGGUAAUGGGUAAAGAAGCACCGGCUAACUACGUG
rnacentral:rRNA from 1 species